rnacentral:rRNA from 1 species
GACGAACGCUGGCGGCGUGCUUAACACAUGCAAGUCGAACGGAAAGGCCCUGCUUUUGUGGGUUGCUCGAGUGGCGAACGGGUGAGUAACACGUUAGUAACCUGCCCUUUACUUUGGGAUAACUUCAGGAAACUGGGGCUAAUACCGGAUAGGAUCUCCUGCUGCAUGUUGUGGGUUGGAUAGUUUCGGCGGUUGGGGAUGGACUCGCGGCUUAUCAGCUUGUUGGUGGGGUAGUGGCUUACCAAGGCUUUGACGGGUAGCCGGCCUGAGAGGGUGACCGGCCAAAUUGGGACUGAGAGACGGACCAGACUGCUACGGGAGGCAGCAGUGGGGAAUAUUGCAAAAUGGGAGGAAGCCUGAUGCAGCAACGCCGCGUGCGGGAUGACGGCCUUCGGGUUGUAAACAGAUUUCGCCUGUGACGAAGCGUGAGUGACGGUAAUGGGUAAAGAAGCACCGGCUAACUACGUG